GCUGGGCGCGGUGGUGUGCGCCUGUAAUCCCAGCUACUCAGGAGGCUGAGGUGGGAGGAUUGCUUGAGCCCAGGAGGUAGAGGUUGCAGUGAGCUGAGGUUGCACCACUGCACUCCAGCCUGGGCAACAGAGCAAGAUUCCAUCUCAA
rnacentral:SRP_RNA from 1 species